AUAAAGAAUGGUCUCCGCCACCCU
rnacentral:siRNA from 1 species